GCCCCGAGGGCGUCCGUGUCAGCUCGCCAGGCUGACAACCGGAUGGUCGCUGGUUCAAAUCCGGCCCGGGGGACCA
rnacentral:tRNA from 1 species